UACGGAGGGGGCUAGCGUUGUUCGGAAUUACUGGGCGUAAAGCGCACGUAGGCGGCUUUGUAAGUUAGAGGUGAAAGCCCAGGGCUUAACCCUGGAAUUGCCUUUAAGACUGCAUCGCUAGAAUUGUGGAGAGGUAAGUGGAAUUCCGAGUGUAGAGGUGAAAUUCGUAGAUAUUCGGAAGAACACCGGUGGCGAAGGCGGCCUGCUGGGACGUGGCUGACGCUGAGGCGCGACAGCGUGGGGAGCAAACAGG
rnacentral:rRNA from 1 species